rnacentral:tRNA from 1 species
GGGCUGUUAGCUCAGUUGGUAGAGCAGCUGACUCUUAAUCAGCGGGUCGUGGGUUCGAAUCCCUCACAGCCUA